CUGAAACUUCCCUUAAACAAAAUUGUUCACCAAAAAAAGAUGACUGAACAUGAUUACUAACAUCAAAUUUGACUUAUUUUCAUUGUGAUAGGUACAACUUCUAAAAAUUGGAUUUCUGAUCAUUCUCUGUAAUAGGAAGUACACCACUAAUUCAUGGUCCCAUUGCUUCCUAUGUUAAAUUCCUCCAUUUCAAGCAGGCACACCUCUUUUAUUUUAAGUUCAAAUAAAGUGGCAAUCAUUGCAUGUCAAAGCAACACUUUAUGGUGUCUUCUACUGAAAAAAUCAACAUACCUUUAAUUGCAUAUAAGAAAGAACUGGUUCCCAGAAGUUCGGAUGUACCAAAACGGGUACUUCAGAUCUGACAAACAUAC
rnacentral:lncRNA from 1 species